GACGAACGCUGGCGGCGUGCUUAACACAUGCAAGUCGAACGGAAAGGCCCUGCUUGCCGGGUACUCGAGUGGCGAACGGGUGAGUAACACGUGGGUGAUCUGCCCUGCACUUCGGGAUAAGCCUGGGAAACUGGGUCUAAUACCGGAUAGGGGCCAUUUUUAGUGUGAUGGUUGGAAAGUUUUUUCGGUGUAGGAUGAGCUCGCGGCCUAUCAGCUUGUUGGUGGGGUAAUGGCCUACCAAGGCGGCGACGGGUAGCCGGCCUGCGAGGGUGGACGGCCACAUUGGGACUGAGAUACGGCCCAGACUCCUACGGGAGGCAGCAGUGGGGAAGAUUGCACAAUGGGCGCAAGCCUGAUGCAGCGACGCCGCGUGGGGGAUGACGGCCUUCGGGUUGAAAACGCCUUUCGCUAGGGACGAAGCUUUUUGUGACGGUACCUAGAGAAGAAGCACCGGCUAACUACGUG
rnacentral:rRNA from 1 species